rnacentral:rRNA from 1 species
UACGUAGGGUGCAAGCGUUGUCCGGAAUUAUUGGGCGUAAAGCGCACGUAGGCGGCUUUUUAAGUCAGGGGUGAAAUCCUGGAGCUCAACUCCAGAACUGCCUUUGAUACUGGGAAGCUCGAGUCCGGGAGAGGUGAGCGGAACUCCGAGUGUAGAGGUGAAAUUCGUAGAUAUUCGGAAGAACACCAGUGGCGAAGGCGGCUCACUGGCCCGGUACUGACGCUGAGGUGCGAAAGCGUGGGGAGCAAACAGG